UCAUUAGCCGUUAAAACUGUCAUCUUCUCUGCUCAUUUAGAAGUAUUUCAUCAAUUCGAGACGAAGCUUUAACCCCAGGGCCAACGAGAAUCAAGGAGAAGCCAUAUGGGAAGUGCGGAGGAACCGAAAUUCAGAGUGGAUCUUUACAGAAGUAUUUCAUCAAUUCGAGACGAAGAUUUAACCGCAGGGCCAACGAAAAUCAAGAAGAAGCCAUGGGAAGUGCGGAGAAACCGAAAUUCUGAGUGGAUCUUUAAGUGUAGAUGUAAACACAUAUCAAAAUGGCACCAGAGCCACUAGAUAUCUCUGAGCAUGAGUUGCUCUUCAAAGCAACAGAUAUCUCUGAUCAUGAGUUGCCCUUCAAAGCAACCAAUUUAUCCAAACUCUCCUCCAUAGAUUUGUCUCAGUACCUGGAGGCAUACAUGAGGAAUAUUAGAAAUCUCUACAAUAACUCCUCAGCAGUAAAAAAAAAAUGAAUUUUGCUGAAGCUGCGAUGGUGAUUCAGAAUUCACUGAUUAUCUUUGCCAAGAAUGUCGACUCAAUUUGGGCAAGAGCUAUGAGCAUACGGCUUGCUUUAUCUGCUAACAUAUACCGAAAAAAAAUAACUAUGAUGAAGAUAAUGAGGAUUGUGAUGUUGGAACUGGUGAAGAAGGUGCAAAGCAAAAAGAAAAGGCUAAGAAGAAGAAAAAGUGAACAUUUAAUGUUGAAGAAUUUCAACUCCUUCCUUUUCUCAAUACUGAUAAAAAUAUUGAUAUGAAACUAGACAAGAAAGAGGAUAAACUAGCAAAGCAAUCAGAUAAACUUGUCCUUCCCACCUUGUUGUGAAUCAAAAGUAAGGUUAAUAAAUCGAGAUAUAUUUUCACAUCUGAAGGAGUAGCAGUCUGGAAAUGGAUGAAUUCAGAUUAUUUUGGCCCAUUACGAAAAGCGGUUAGCUCUAUGAAGAUUAUGAACCUGAAAAUUGGUGUGCGUUUCCUGAAAGAAUCAUCGAACAAAGUUUUACAGAGGCUGCUGAGCAUCCUGUCAAUGAGGAAAUUUUCAACAAUGACAU